rnacentral:rRNA from 1 species
CCGCCCGUCACGUCAUGGGAGUGGCCAAUGCGUGAAGUCCGUGGGCUAACCGCCGUCCUUGGACGGGGGAGGCAGCGGCCGAGCGUAGGGGUCGCGACUGGGACG